ACAUCAGUGUAUAGAAACCUGAAGUUCCUGGCUUCCUGCUGGGAAAGAGGCUUGGGGUUCUCAUGAAAGUGAUUCUGCCAGUAUAGAACUCUGGCCCGAGAAGCUGUAGGGAGGUUUGUCAACCCAGAAGAAAGAUGAGGGGAUCAUGUAUGAAGCAGCGGGGGGUGGGAGAAUAGCCCAUCAUUCAGCUUCAGCUAAAGUAGGAGGAGUGGGUGAGUCACUCUCUCUAAUGACUUAUCCUGGUGUUUUUCUUUCUAAAGACUUGAUGCUGGAGAGUCUAAGUGACGAGGAGACUCAUCCAGUUUGUCCUGAGGAUGGCCUGUUUUUAAGAGGCUCACCACAACGCAAAGAUGAAGAAGAAGAAAAUGAUGAUGAUGAUGAUGAUGAUGAUGUCCAGGUAAGACUCCCCUUUUUUGUCUUUUACAGCAGUGUUGCUUUCCUGCUUGCUUUACUUCUCAAUUAAUUUUUAUAUGAAAAUCUGGCAGUGCACAUUAUGUACAUUGUACACUAUUCUCUUUGUGGGGCUAGAAUUCAGUAGGCGUGUCUUCCCAACUGAUACAUGGUCUGCUAGCGUGGUUUUCAAUGACAGCAUCCAGUAUCAACUGGAAUACUGAGGCAUUUUCCACAAUACCACUUUUCCUCCUUGGAUUAAGCAUUGUGCAUUUGAAUAUAAAAUUAAAGGUAAAUUCUGUGAAUUAAGGUAUUGUUUUUCUAUAGCUAUCCUCUGUGCUAGGCUUUGGGGACUUUGACCUAUGGUUCAAUCACUGUACUGCCUCCUGGUUUUUUAUCAUUGUCCAGAGAAUAACAGAUCUGUGUGAAGCGCACAGCAGAAUCUGAUUCUCAUGUUUUCUUUUAUAUAAUUGCAGAUAAAAGCUUGGCUUAAAGAAAGAGGUAUGUACCAUGAAAUAACUCACUUCCCGGGGGAAAAUCUUGCUAGCUUCAGUGUAUAGAACUGAUUCUGGCUUCCUGCAGGAGGAGGCAGGAGUUCUCAUAGAAAGUAAUUCUGCCAGUAGCAGAGCUACAGCCAGCU
rnacentral:lncRNA from 1 species